GACGAACGCUGGCGGCGUGCUUAACACAUGCAAGUCGAACGGAAAGGCCCUGCUUUUGUGGGGUGCUCGAGUGGCGAACGGGUGAGUAACACGUGAGUAACCUGCCCUUGACUUUGGGAUAACUUCAAGAAACUGGGGCUAAUACCGGAUAGGAGCUCCUGCUGCAUGGUGGGGGCUGGAAAGUUUCGGCGGUUGGGGAUGGACUCGCGGCUUAUCAGCUUGUUGGUGGGGUAGUGGCUUACCAAGGCUUUGACGGGUAGCCGGCCUGAGAGGGUGACCGGCCACAUUGGGACUGAGAUACGGCCCAGACUCCUACGGGAGGCAGCAGUGGGGAAUAUUGCACAAUGGGCGGAAGCCUGAUGCAGCAACGCCGCGUGCGGGAUGACGGCCUUCGGGUUGUAAACCGCUUUCGCCUGUGACGAAGCGUGAGUGACGGUAAUGGGUAAAGAAGCACCGGCUAACUACGUG
rnacentral:rRNA from 1 species